rnacentral:rRNA from 1 species
AGCGGCGGACGGGUGAGUAAUGCUUAGGAAUCUGCCUAUUAGUGGGGGACAACAUUCCGAAAGGGAUGCUAAUACCGCAUACGUCCUACGGGAGAAAGCAGGGGAUCUUCGGACCUUGCGCUAAUAGAUGAGCCUAAGUCGGAUUAGCUAGUUGGUGGGGUAAAGGCCUACCAAGGCGACGAUCUGUAGCGGGUCUGAGAGGAUGAUCCGCCACACUGGGACUGAGACACGGCCCAGACUCCUACGGGAGGCAGCAGUGGGGAAUAUUGGACAAUGGGAGGAACCCUGAUCCAGCCAUGCCGCGUGUGUGAAGAAGGCCUUAUGGUUGUAAAGCACUUUAAGCGAGGAGGAGGCUACUGAGACUAAUACUCUUGGAUAGUGGACGUUACUCGCAGAAUAAGCACCGGCUAACUCUGUGCCAGCAGCCGCGGUAAUACAGAGGGUGCGAGCGUUAAUCGGAUUUACUGGGCGUAAAGCGUGCGUAGGCGGCUUUUUAAGUCGGAUGUGAAAUCCCCGAGCUUAACUUGGGGAUUGCAUUCGAUACUGGGAAGCUAGAGUAUGGGAGAGGAUGGUAGAAUUCCAGGUGUAGCGGUGAAAUGCGUAGAGAUCUGGAGGAAUACCGAUGGCGAAGGCAGCCAUCUGGCCUAAUACUGACGCUGAGGUACGAAAGCAUGGGGAGCAAACAGGAUUAGAUACCCUGGUAGUCCAUGCCGUAAACGAUGUCUACUAGC